rnacentral:tRNA from 1 species
GGACCGGUAGCUCAGCGGUAGAGCGGACGAGGCGUAAUCGUCGGGUCGGCAGGUUCGACUCCUGCCCCGGUCCU